rnacentral:rRNA from 1 species
UACGUAGGGAGCAAGCGUUGUCCGGAAUUAUUGGGCCUAAAGCAUCCGUAGCCGGUUCUACAAGUCUUCCGUUAAAUCCACCUGCUUAACAGAUGGGCUGCGGAAGAUACUAUGGAGCUAGGAGGCGGGAGAGGCAAGCGGUACUCGAUGGGUAGGGGUAAAAUCCGUUGAUCCAUUGAAGACCACCAGUGGCGAAGGCGGCUUGCCAGAACGCGCUCGACGGUGAGGGAUGAAAGCUGGGGGAGCAAACCGG